rnacentral:pre_miRNA from 1 species
CAGAAAGUGUGAUAGUGGCACGGUUCAAUCGGAUUACUUCUGUUGAUUUCUGCAUCCAACACCGUAAUCGAAUUGAGCCGUGCCAAUAUCACCCAUCUUCCA